rnacentral:rRNA from 1 species
UACAGAGGUCUCGAGCGUUGUUCGGAUUCAUUGGGCGUAAAGGGUGCGUAGGUGGCGCUGUAAGUCAGGUGUGAAAUUUCGGAGCUUAACUCCGAAACUGCAUUUGAUACUGCGGUGCUUUGAGGACUGGAGAGGAGACUGGAAUUUACGGUGUAGCAGUGAAAUGCGUAGAGAUCGUAAGGAAGACCAGUGGCGAAGGCGGGUCUCUGGACAGUUCCUGACACUGAGGCACGAAGGCCAGGGGGAGCAAAACGGG